AUGUCUUCCCUAGCCCUAAUCGCCGCCGACUCGAGGAGCCGUGGCGGUGGUUCAGCGCUGGGAUUUGUCGUCGUACACUGCCGAGAGGCCUCCCUCCGCCGUGCUAGCUCCGCCAUCAGGACCAGCACUUCGCCGCCAACCACGCCGUUGGAAAUUAGGGAGCCCGGCCGUGUCGUCGGACAUCAUGCGGCCCAGAUGAGCCGCCGUUCCUUGCUGGCGUCAGCGGGCCCGCUGGACGACGAGGAUCUCCUCCGAGAGAUCCUCCUCCGUCUCCCUCCGAAUCCAUCCUCCCUCCCACGUGCCUCGCUUGUCUGCACACGUUGGCGCACCAUUCUCGCUGACCCACAAUUUCUCCGCCGCUUCCGCAAACACCACAGAAACCCUCCAUUGCUGGGCUUCUUCUUCACAGAUGGUGAAUUCACUCCCAUAAUGGACCCUCCCGACAGCAUCCGUGUUGAGCGCUUCUCCGUGCCCAAGAUCCGAACCCCCAAGAGGUCUUGGUGGAACCUCAUAUGCUGCCGCCAUGGCCUCGCCGUACUAGUUAACUGGUUGCAGCCAGGCCCGGCCCAUAGGCCGGGCAAACGGGGCGCCCGCCCUGGCCCCUGGGAAUCAGGGGCCCCGGCCCAGGGAUCUCUCUCCACGGCGGCGUCUCCUCCUCUUCCCAAAUUUCCGAUCUCAGUCUCCAAGAACAGCGCCGCCUCUCCCAUGCCUUUCUGA
rnacentral:rRNA from 1 species